rnacentral:lncRNA from 1 species
GCGGCGGUGGUGGCCGGGGAGAAGGCCAUGGGAGGAGGAGGAGGGGAUGAGAGGAGGGAGCGAUGAGUGGCGGGCACGGGAUGCUGGGAUGGGUGGAGAUUUUGUAGCUGUGAGCUGUGAGGCCGUGUGCGCUAUGCUAAGAUUGAAUUUGUCGGGUGGUUGAUGGCCUAGAGGCUUUUGGGUCUUUGUGCUGGUCAAGUGAGC